AGCCUGAUGCAGCGACGCCGCGUGAGGGAUGACGGCCUUCGGGUUGUAAACCUCUUUCAGUAGGGACGAAGCGCACGUGACGGUACCUAUAGAACAAGGACCGGCCAACUACGUGCCACCAGCCGCGGUAAUACGUAGGGUCCGAGCGUUGUCCGGAAUUACUGGGCGUAAAGAGCUCGUAGGUGGUUUGUCGCGUUGUUCGUGAAAACUCACAGCUCAACUGUGGGCGUGCGGGCGAUACAGGCAGACUACAGUACUGCAGGGGAGACUGGAAUUCCUGGUGUAGCGGUGGAAUGCGCAGAUCUCAAGAGGAACACCGGUGGCGAAGGCGGGUCUCUGGGCAGUAACUGACGCUGAGGAGCGAAAGCGUGGGGAGCGAACAGGAUUAGAUACCCUGGUAGUCCACGCCGUAAACGGGGGGUACUAGGUGUGGGUUUCCUUCCUUGGGAUCCGUGCCGUAUCUAACGCAUUAAGUACCCCGCCAGGGGAGUACGGCCGCAAGGCUAAAACUCAGAGAAAUUGACGGGGGCCCGCACAAGCGGCGGAGCAUGUGGAUUAAUUCGAUGCAACGCGAAGAACCUUACCUGGGUUUGACAUGCACAGGACGUGCCUAGAGAUAGGUAUUCCCUUGUGGU
rnacentral:rRNA from 1 species